rnacentral:tRNA from 1 species
CGCGCGGUGGAGCAGUUGGCAGCUCGUUGGGCUCAUAACCCAAAGGUCGUAGGUUCAAGUCCUACCCGCGCUA